rnacentral:rRNA from 1 species
GGCGGCGUGCUUAACACAUGCAAGUCGAACGGUGAAGCAGGAGCUUGCUCUUGUGGAUCAGUGGCGAACGGGUGAGUAACACGUGAGUAACCUGCCCUUGACUCUGGGAUAAGCGUUGGAAACGACGUCUAAUACCGGAUAUUUCAACCGACGGCAUCGUCUGGUUGUGGAAAGAUUUUUUGGUCAAGGAUGGACUCGCGGCCUAUCAGCUUGUUGGUGAGGUAAUGGCUCACCAAGGCGACGACGGGUAGCCGGCCUGAGAGGGUGACCGGCCACACUGGGACUGAGACACGGCCCAGACUCCUACGGGAGGCAGCAGUGGGGAAUAUUGCACAAUGGGCGCAAGCCUGAUGCAGCAACGCCGCGUGAGGGAUGACGGCCUUCGGGUUGUAAACCUCUUUUAGUAGGGAAGAAGCGAAAGUGACGGUACCUGCAGAAAAAGCACCGGCUAACUACGUGCCAGCAGCCGCGGUAAUACGUAGGGUGCAAGCGUUGUCCGGAAUUAUUGGGCGUAAAGAGCUCGUAGGCGGUUUGUCGCGUCUGCUGUGAAAACUGGAGGCUCAACCUCCAGCCUGCAGUGGGUACGGGCAGACUAGAGUGCGGUAGGGGAGAUUGGAAUUCCUGGUGUGGCGGUGGAAUGCGCAGAUAUCAGGAGGAACACCGAUGGCGAAGGCAGAUCUCUGGGCCGUAACUGACGCUGAGGAGCGAAAGCGUGGGGAGCGAACAGGAUUAGAUACCCUGGUAGUCCACGCCGUAAGCGUUGGGAACUAGAUGUGGGGGCCAUUCCACGGUCUCCGUGUCGCAGCUAAC